GACGAACGCUGGCGGCGUGCUUAACACAUGCAAGUCGAACGGAAAGGCCCUUCGGGGUACUCGAGUGGCGAACGGGUGAGUAACACGUGGGUGAUCUGCCCUGCACUUUGGGAUAAGCCUGGGAAACUGGGUCUAAUACCGAAUAUGAUCAUCGGCUUCAUGGUCGGUGGUGGAAAGCUUUUGCGGUGUGGGAUGGGCCCGCGGCCUAUCAGCUUGUUGGUGGGGUAAUGGCCUACCAAGGCGACGACGGGUAGCCGGCCUGAGAGGGUGACCGGCCACACUGGGACUGAGAUACGGCCCAGACUCCUACGGGAGGCAGCAGUGGGGAAUAUUGCACAAUGGGCGCAAGCCUGAUGCAGCGAAGCCGCGUGAGGGAUGACGGCCUUCGGGUUGUAAACCUAUUUCAGCACAGACGAAGAGCAAGUGACGGUAUGUGCAGAAGAAGGACCGGCCAACUACGUG
rnacentral:rRNA from 1 species